CUACGGGCUGCUGCAGUGGGGAAUAUUGCGCAAUGGAGGGAACUCUGAUGCAGCAACGCCGCGUGGAGGAUGACACAUUUCGGUGCGUAAACUCCUUUUAUAUAAGAAGAUAAUGACGGUAUUAUAUGAAUAAGCACCGGCUAACUCCGUGCCAGCAGCCGCGGUAAUACGGGGGGUGCAAGCGUUACUCGGAAUCACUGGGCGUAAAGAGCAUGUAGGCUGGUUUGUAAGUUGGAAGUGAAAUCCUAUGGCUUAACCAUAGAACUGCUUCCAAAACUACUUACCUAGAGUAUGGGAGAGGUAGAUGGAAUUUCUGGUGUAGGGGUAAAAUCCGUAGAGAUCAGAAGGAAUACCGAUUGCGAAGGCGAUCUACUGGAACAUUACUGACGCUCAGAUGCGAAAGCGUGGGGAGCAAACAGGAUUAGAUACCCCGGUAGUC
rnacentral:rRNA from 1 species